GGGCGAUUAGUUUAGUGGUAGAACAGCGGUCUCCAAAACCGUUGGCGGGAGUUCGAUUCUCUCAUCGCCUGCAA
rnacentral:tRNA from 1 species